rnacentral:tRNA from 1 species
GGUUAUAGCUCAGUUGGUAGAGUGCUUGCCUUUGCAUGCACAAGGUUAUGGGUUCAAUCCCCAGCACCA